CAGAAGUCUUACUGACACAUUGACGUCACUGGAAAACAACAUAGGAAACACUGUUGUGCUUUUGGAGAAUGCCAAAACAAUGUUGAAGGAUUUGGAGACAGCAACAGAAGUACUAUCAAAGGAAAAUAAGAUCAAAUACCUGCAAAACAUAUAUGGUCAUCUUCAAACGAAUGCUAUAAUGAAUCAAGUCCAGACUGAUGAAAUUAUGAACAGCACUACGGCCAUGCUUUUGUACUCACAAGAGUGUGAACCUGACAACAUGGAUGAUCUUGAGGAACUCAUCACUCUUGCCGGCUACAUUUACGGAAAGGCUCUGACUGAUAACGGUAACAUUGUCAAGGAGCUUCCAACAGGCACUAUUUAUGUCACAAGGUCAUUAUU
rnacentral:lncRNA from 1 species